rfam:Triticum aestivum genome assembly, contig: Triticum_aestivum_CS42_TGACv1_scaffold_457120_5DS
UUAUAGUAAUCGUUCUGCUUUAAAAGGGGUUAAUGGAAUGGAGCAUGUUUUGGACCAUGUGCCACGAAAGGCCGCACACGUGCUACACACUGAUGUAUUCAACGAGUAUAUAUCCUUGACCGACAAGCCAGGGUAAUCUUUGGAAAUUUCAUUGUGACAAGGAUAGAUCAUUGAAAUUGUUGGUUUUCAACAAGAAAUGGCUAGUAAGCAUGAGUCACCAGCUCGUGUUGACUACGUCCCCCUUUGUACACACCGUCUGUCGGUCCUACCGAUUGAAUGGUCCAGUGAAGUGUUCAGAUCAUGGCGACAGGGAUGGUUUUCUGCCCCCGACAUUGUGAAAAGUCCAUUGAACCUUAUCAUUUAGAGGAAGGAGAAGUUGUAAUAAGGUUUCCGUAGGUCAAUCCACGAAAG